rnacentral:tRNA from 1 species
GCUCGUUAGCUUAGUUUUUAAAGCGUUCGUCUAACAUGCAAGAGUACUGGGUUCGAAUCUCAGCCGAACA